rnacentral:rRNA from 1 species
GGUGGUGCAUGGCCGUUCUUAGUUCGUGGAGCGAUCUGUCUGGUUAAUUCCGAUAACGAACGAGACUCUUGCCUGCUAAAUAGACGGCGCCGACCCGGUCGGCGACCGUUUGCUUCUUAGAGGGACAAGCGGCUUUUAGCCGCGUGAAGCCGAGAGCAAUAACAGGUCAGUGAUGCCCUCAGAUGUUCGGGGCCGCACGCGCGCUACACUGUUUGCAUCAGCGUGUUUCUCCCGCGCCGGCUGGCGUGGGCAACCCGUUGAACCGCAAACGUGCUAGGGAUCGGAGAUUGCAAUUGUUCUCCGUGAACGAGGAAUUCCUUGUACUGGCGAGUCAUCAGCUCGCGGGGAAUCUGUCCCUGCCCUUUGUACACACCGCCCGUCGCUACUACCGAUUGAGUGGUUUAGUGAGGCUCACGGACUGCGCGCGGCACACGGCGCUUUCGGGCGUCGCGUCGCGAUGCGGAAAGUGAGACGAACUUGAUCACUUCUAGGAAGUAA